GUGAGUUGUAUUCAAUUUUAGAUGAUGACAAUAGUGUCUCAUCGUUUGUGACUACUUUAUCAGAUUUAUCGCCCAUGUUGAUGUUUAAUUUUGAUAGGGUUUUUAGUUUUCAUGGGCUGCUGGCUCUGAUACCAUGAAAAGUUUAGGGUAAAAUGGCUUGCUUUGUAUUGAUAAUUCACCACGAUAUAUAUACAGAAACUUCCUAC
rnacentral:lncRNA from 1 species